AUUCAAUUUCCUUGUAAGACCCGCAUUGAAAUUUGAAGAUGAGUGUGAUAUUGCACCUUUACGAGAUGGGGAUGAUCAAGAUGAUGAGCUUCAUGAUCUGAAAGGCCAAGAAGAAGAAGAAGAAGCAGAAGCAAAAUGCUGCGUUUGAGGGCAUUCAGGCCGAGCAGUGAGAAGAUAGUGAAGAUUCAGUUGCAUCCAACGCAUCCAUGGCUUGUUACUGCCGACGCCUCUGAUCGCGUGUCUGUUUGGAAUUGGGAACACCGCCAGAUAAUAUACGAGCUAAAAGCUGGUGGUGUUGAUGAGAGGCGUUUGGUCGGAGCUAAGUUGGAGAAGCUUGCCGAGGGUGAAUUAGAUUCCAAAGGUAAACCCACAGAAGCCAUGAGGGGAGGCAGUGUUAAACAGGUUAACUUUUAUGAUGAUGAUAUACGGUUUUGGCAACUUUGGUGUAACCGAUCUGCAGCUGCUGAAGCUCCCUCUGCUGUAAAUAAUGUUACUUCAGCUUUUACUUCCCUGGCUCCAUCAACUAAAGGAAGGCACUUUCUUGUCAUUUGUUGUGAAAACAAAGCCAUUUUUUUGGACCUGGUUACAAUGCGUGGCCGUGAUGUACUCAAGCAAGAGCUUGACAACAAGUCACUUUUGUGUAUGGAAUUUCUUUGUAGAUCUACUGCUAGGGAUGGUCCUUUGGUUGCUUUUGGUGGAUCAGAUGGUGUCAUUAGAGUUCUUUCAAUGAUUACAUGGAAGCUUGUGCGUAGAUAUACCGGAGGUCAUAAAGGAUCCAUUGCUUGUUUGAUGACUUUCAUGGCAGCAUCUGGUGAGGCACUUCUUGUCUCAGGUGGUAGUGAUGGUUUGCUUGUACUUUGGAGUGCUGACCAUGGUCAAGAUUCACGAGAACUUGUGCCCAAGCUAAGCUUAAAGGCACAUGAUGGUGGGGUCGUGGCUGUUGAGCUUUCUCGAGUGAUAGGAGGUGCUCCACAACUUAUUACCAUUGGUGCAGAUAAGACAUUAGCUAUAUGGGACACAAUUUCUUUCAAGGAGUUGCGGCGUAUUAAGCCUGUUCCAAAACUGGCUUGUCACAGUGUGGCCUCUUGGUGCCAUCCUCGAGCUCCGAACCUUGAUAUAUUAACUUGUGUCAAGGAUUCUCAUAUAUGGGCUAUUGAACACCCCACCUAUUCAGCUCUCACAAGACCAUUAUGUGAGCUUUCUUCACUCAUCCCUCCUCAAGUUCUUGCACCAAACAAGAAACUUAGAGUUUAUUGUAUGGUUGCACAUCCUUUGCAGCCUCACCUUGUUGCUACUGGAACCAAUAUUGGUGUUAUUAUUAGUGAGUUUGAUGCCAUGUCUCUCCCAGCUGUAGCUCCUCUGCCAACGCCAUCAGGAAAUAGGGAGCAUUCAGCUGUCUAUGUAGUUGAAAGGGAAUUGAAUCUACUAAACUUUCAAUUGUCCAACACAGCAAAUCUCUCUCUUGGUAGCAAUGGUUCCUUAUCUGAAACAGGAAAGUACAAGGGAGACUCAGCUGAAACAUUGCAUGUCAAGCAGAUUAAGAAGCACAUUAGUACACCUGUUCCACAUGAUUCAUAUUCUGUUCUUUCUGUAAGCAGUUCAGGAAAAUAUCUCGCAAUUGUGUGGCCUGAUAUUCCUUACUUCUCUAUAUACAAGGUUAGUGAUUGGACCAUCGUAGAUUCAGGCAGUGCAAGGCAUCUGGCUUGGGAUACAUGUCGUGAUAGAUUUGCUAUACUGGAAUCUGCAUUAGCUCCUAGAAUUCCUAUAAUUCCCAAGGGGGUUUCCUCAAGGAAAGCGAAGGAAGCAGCUGCAGCCGCAGCACAAGCAGCAGCAGCUGCAGCUAGUGCUGCUUCUGCUGCCAGUGUGCAAGUUCGUAUCUUGCUUGAUGAUGGUACAUCAAAUAUCCUGAUGAGAUCCGUUGGAAGUCGUUCUGAACCGGUCAUUGGCUUGCAUGGGGGGGCACUACUAGGUGUGGUCUAUAGAACUUCCCGGAGGAUUAGCCCUGUUGCAGCAACAGCUAUAUCCACAAUUCAAUCUAUGCCAUUGUCAGGAUUUGGAAGUAGUGCUGGUUCUUCAUUUAGCUCUUUUGAUGAUGGAUUUUCUUCUCAGAGAUCUCCUGCUGAGGCAGCCCCUCAAAACUUUCAGUUGUAUAGUUGGGAAACUUUUGAACCUGUGGGUGGUCUGCUUCCUCAGCCAGAAUGGACUGCAUGGGAUCAAACAGUUGAGUAUUGUGCUUUUGCCUAUCAGCAGUAUAUUGUCAUAUCUUCUUUGCGGCCUCAAUAUCGAUAUCUAGGAGAUGUUGCAAUUCCCUACGCUACAGGAGCUGUUUGGCACCGGAGACAGCUUUUUGUGGCUACACCAACUACUAUUGAAUGUGUUUUUGUGGAUGCUGGAGUUGCAGCGAUUGAUAUAGAAACAAGAAGAAUGAAAGAAGAGAUGAGAAUGAAAGAGGCACAGGCCAGAGCAGUCGUUGAACAUGGAGAGUUAGCCCUAAUCACAGUAGAAGGUCCACAAACUGCUACACAAGAGAGAAUAAAACUAAGGCCACCUAUGCUACAGGUGGUUCGUUUAGCUUCUUUUCAGCAUGUUCCUUCUGUGCCACCUUUCUUGACAUUGCCAAAGCAGACAAAAGUUGAUGAUGGUGAUUUGGCAAUGCCAAAGGAGAUGGAAGAGAAAAGGGUUAGUGAGAUAGCAGUUGGUGGUGGAGGGGUGUCUGUGGCAGUUACUCGUUUUCCUAGUGAGCAGAAACGACCUGUUGGACCUCUAGUAGUGGUGGGUGUAAGACAUGGGGUUCUUUGGCUUAUUGAUAGAUAUAUGUGCGCGCAUGCCUUAUCCCUAAGUCAUCCUGGUAUUCGUUGUCGGUGUCUUGCUGCUUAUGGAGAUGCUGUUAGUGCUGUUAAAUGGGCAAGUAGGCUUGGUAGAGAACAUCAUGAUGAUUUGGCACAAUUCAUGCUGGGGAUGGGCUAUGCUACUGAAGCUCUUCAUUUGCCUGGAAUAUCUAAGAGGUUGGAGUUUGACUUAGCCAUGCAGAGCAAUGAUUUAAAAAGAGCACUUCAGUGCCUUCUUACGAUGAGCAACAGCAGGGAUGUAGGGCAAGAUGGUACUGGUCUUGGUUUGAAUGACAUUCUUAACUUAACAGCAAAAAAGGAAAAUAUUGUUGAUGCUGUUCAAGGAAUUGUGAAAUUUGCAAAGGAGUUUUUGGACCUCAUUGAUGCUGCGGACGCCACUGCACAGGCUGACAUUGCUUGUGAAGCUCUCAAGAGGUUAGCUGCUGCAGGUUCUGUAAAAGGAGCUUUGCAGGGUCAUGAGUUAAGAGGACUUGCUCUACGCCUUGCAAAUCAUGGGGAGUUGACAAGGCUGAGUGGUUUGGUAAACAAUUUGAUUUCAGUUGGCUUGGGACGUGAAGCAGCAUUUUCAGCUGCUGUUUUGGGAGACAAUGUUCUCAUGGAAAAGGCUUGGCAGGACACAGGGAUGCUUGCGGAGUCCGUACUGCAUGCCCAUGCUCAAGGGCGACCAACACUUAAAAACUUGGUUCAAGCUUGGAACAAAAUGCUACAGAAAGGGGUUGAACACAGCCCAUCAACAAAGACAGAUGCUGCAGCUGCAUUUCUGGCUUCCCUUGAGGAGCCCAAGCUUACAAGUUUGGCAGAUGCAGGGAAAAAACCAACUCUUGAAAUUCUUCCUCCGGGGAUGCCAUCUCUUUCUGCUUUAAUUACUAAUCAGAAAAAACCUGGUCCUGGCACACAAAGUUCACAGCAGCAACCUAGUAAGCCAUUACAAUUAGAAGCACCUCCCAAUGCUAAUUCUGAACCAGCAACUGCAUCAACUCCUGCCACAACUACUACUGCAGGACCAGAAAAUGCACCUCCUAGUUCUACACCAGAUGUAGAAAAUGAUCCACUGCAAUCAGAAGCAGGUGAACCUCAUGGUUCUGUUGCUGAUAAAGCUCCUAUCUCAUCCUCAGGGAGUAAUCCAGAUCUAGUUACUUCAGGGGAAAGCAACACACCAACGUCUACAGGUAAUACAGAAUCAAAAGAGGUACCACCCCAAAUACCAAAUAACCUGGGAUCAAAUAUUCCAAGUACCGUGCCCAUGAGUGAUGCUCUUGCUUGAAUAUAAAGUUUGAAACCCAUUAGAGAGAAUUGCGUAUUGGAAAUUCUUUGAUGAUUCUUUCACUCCUAAAGUAAGUCUGAAUAUGGACCAUUACAGUGUCUACAACACUACAUAUAUAGAAUUGCGAGCAAGAGAUUUAGUUUCAUUGCCAGUUGAAUUUGUGCGUGUAUACUUUAUCAGGUGAUUAGAUCUCGUAUGUUCAUAUGAUUUAUCAGAGAACUUUUUCAGGGCCUUGAUUGUUGCACUGUGUUUUCUUUAUCUGUAACUAUUUCAGGCUUGCGGUGUUGUACUAUAAAAUUUUCCAACUUUUUUUCGUUUGAGAUACCAAUUUACAAUUUGUGAGCAGGUUGAGUUGUAA
rnacentral:misc_RNA from 1 species